AACGCAAAACCACAGACAGGCUGGCACUACUAUCGCAUCCUUUCGAGGUUGAGCCUCUUUCGGGAGCGCUCUGACCCAGGACAUCACGGAUUCCGGUGCCAGACUUCGGUCUUUACGCUUGUACUGGAGAACAACGUGUCAAUCUUGGGUGCAGUGGACCAUCUGAAGCUCCUUGUAGCUUCUAAGGACCCGCCUUCGUGCAUCCGUAUGGGGUCGACUGCAAGGAUUGACACAACAUUA
rnacentral:snoRNA from 1 species